rnacentral:lncRNA from 1 species
ACGUGGCGGGCCAAAGAACUUCAAAUUCCAAUUCAUAAGUAUAUAAAUGUCAGUUUAAUAAUCUCAUAAUAUUACCGAUUUUUUUUUAGACAAAGAUUUGUUGGUUGAAUAUCUGAAAUUCUAAAUUCAAAUCAUAGUUGAUUCACAUUAAUUCACAUUUUCCAGCUAAAUUAUAUUUUUAAAAUAAAAUAAAUAAAGUGGGUACAUACUAAAAUUUCAAAUACCAUUAAGGUGUAUCAAGUUAGUAUCUUGUAAUUUUAUUUUUAUUUUUCGUCAGCUUUUUUGUUAAUACUUGUUAAAUAGUAUAUACAAAAAAACUUCAGAUAUUACAUCUAGGUUUAUCGAAUAUUUACUUUAAUACUUUUUAGUUUUAACUUUAUCACUGAUUUAAUAAAAAAAACUAGUAAAAUCGAUAAUAAAAAAAUAAAAAAUAAAAUUACAUGUCACUAAAUUAAUAUACUAAAAUGAGAAAGUAUGAAACCAUAGGUGCAGUAUUUAAAAUUUUUUUAAAAAAAUAAUUUUAUAAUUUUUUUGUUUAUAAGAAAAUAAAAAUAUUUAUAGUAACAUACAAUAUACUAUAUUUAGGUUUUUUGAGCGUGUAGAGAGCCUGCUAUCUAUUUUUUUUUAAAAAAAUAAAUAAAUAAAAAUAACGUAUCGUGAACCCAGAGAUCUGAUCCAUUGAGAAUGUACCACGUGGCGACGACACAGAUCUCCACGCGGAGGACCCUAUUAAAAAGCGAGGGGUCGCAAUGCCAAAACUAGCCCGGUCCCCGUAAUUACUCUCGUCUGGGGCGGAGUCCCCCGUAACGCUUUCCCACAUCCGCAUCCGCAGCAAUGAUAGCGGCUGUGGCGGCGGCGGCGGCGGCGGAGGCGGCGGAGCCCUGGCCGUCGAUCGAGUCCACGAGGCGUGCAUCGGACGGCGCCUCCGGAUCCCCGCUCCCGAACCGAGCGGGCUUGGUGGCGCGCGUCCCGCCACGUCGCGUCAGCCAGCCGCCGCUCGAUUUUUAAAUUAAAUAACCCCUCCCCUCCGGGAUAAGGAGCUGCAUGCAAUUUUGCGACCAGGCCCCUGCCGAAUGUACUAUUUUGUACCGCGCAUCUGCAAAACCUAUAUAUACUAGUGAAGGCCCGCGCUUCGCUGCGGAAGAUUUACGUAUUUUUUAAAAUAUUUUGAACAAAUUAAUAUAUUUCUAUAUUUAUAUUGUGACCAUUUAAUUUUAAAAUUUAAAUUUUUUAAUUUUCAAAUCUAAUCUUAAAUUUUAAACUUUAAAAAAUUAAAGUGCUAAAAAAAAAAAUUAUUUAAAUAAAGAGGAAUAAAAAAUAAUUUGAAAAUUGAAGAGAGCAGAGAGAGGGAAAAAAACAAAAAGAGCAUUGUCCGCGCCGCGCCGCACCGCACCCCGCCCCGCGCCACUUUCCUGCGUUUUUUUAUUCCAUAAAUUAAGAGAAAAUAAUUAAAGAAAGAGACAAAAAAAUACAAAAAAAAUUAGAAAAAAUGUUAAUUUUACAUUAAAAGCAAAUAAAUAGUAAUUUUGCUCUUAUUUUGGGCUUUCGUAAAAUAUUAUUAUUCAGGACCAAUCAAAUUUGAAGGGGACUAUUAUUAUCUGAUCUCAUAAUUUUUUAUCCAAGAAUUAAAAAGUUGAAAAUACCGACUGCCUUAUGCUUUCGAUAGCACAACAACUUUACACAGAAGUAUAUAGAUAGUAUUUCAUAGAUGCCACCGUAUAUAUUAGCAUACAUAAUAAUUAGCAGUUUAACAUAUACAUAAAAAUUUUGGCUAAUAUUUUAUCAAAUACAAAAAGAGAGAGAGAUGUAUAUAACUCGCACAAUUUGAGAUCGCAAUCAAAACUCUAAAAACAAUGACAAAAAAAACAUUUUGACAAUUUGUUUAAUUUCCUAACAAAAAACUCCAUUAAUUAUUGCGUUAAAACUCAGAAAGGUUUGAGACUUAAGUUACCGUUGUUUGGAAAAAAAAAGAAAAAAGAAAGAGAAAAUAGAUGAGAGUGAGAGGUGCUUCACCAACCUCUUGCAUGAACUGAACAGAGAUGCCCGAGCUGUAGCAUCCUUUGCUUGUGGAGAUCUCAUAUGCGGCCUCCUCUCCUCCUCUCACUUCCUCUAACCCAUUCUCAACUUUAUUUCCACUCUUUCUCUCUGGUUCUCACUCACUCAUACACACACACACACACUCUCUCUCUCUCUCUCUCUCUCUCUCUCUCUCUCUCUC